UCUAGCUUCAGUUCAGUCUCCCUUAUCAGUCUUUCCCUAACCUUCUUUUCAUCAAUUCCGAAUACGAUCUGGUCCUUUAUCAUCGAAUCUUUGAGGGUUCCAAAAUUGCAUGAUUGUGCUUUUAUCUUCAAGUCUGUGACGAAGCCGUCAACACUCUCCCCUGGCUGCUGCAGCCUUGAACGGAAUACGUAUCUCUCGUACGUCUCGUUUUUUUUUGGUGAACAAUACGCUUCGAACUUGGCUAGCACAGUAUUAAACUUGGAUUGGUCUUCCCCAUCCUCAUAUACGAAGGCGACUGUCCGCUUUUCCAGAACCGAAACUCACUCACUUCACGUCUUUUACUCCUGUAGGACCGCUACCGACACCUUGUGGCAACAUGUGGAACUACAGAUAUCACCACA
ensembl:lncRNA